rnacentral:rRNA from 1 species
AGCUCCAAUAGUGUAUAUAAAUGCUGUUGCGGUUAAAAAGCUCGUAGUUGGAUCUCGGCGGGCAGGGGGCGGUUCGUUUUUCGACGCUACUGCCCCAUUUGCCCGUGAAUGUGUUGGCGGAGGUCCGUGGGUGCUCUUGACCGAGUGUCCACGUGCGCCGUCAGGUUUACUUUGAAAAAAUUAGAGUGCUCAGAGCAGGCUUUACACGCUUGAAUAUUCGUGCAUGGAAUAAUGGAAUAGGACGUCGUUUCUAUUUUGUUGGUUUUCGGAAAUCGACGUAAUGAUUAAUAGGGACAGUCGGGGGCAUUAGUAUUCAGACGACAGAGGUGAAAUUCUUGGACCGUCUGAAGACUAACUACUGCGAAAGCAUUUGCCAAGAAUGUUUUCA